rfam:Sistotremastrum niveocremeum HHB9708 unplaced genomic scaffold SISNIscaffold_1, whole genome shotgun sequence.
GGCAGGAUGGUCGAGUGGUAAGACGCAUGAUUUAAGUCCAUGUGCCGAAAGGUAUCGUGGGUUCGAACCCCACUCCUGCCA